UUCCUCACGAAUUCUUUCUCUGUCGUUUUCAGGUGAUGCCCUUUGGUCCGGAAGAGAUGCCUGUCUUUCUGUAUUAAUGAAACAUGGCGGGGGUGGAGGCGGUGGAAUGCUAGGACCUGAAUGGGAAGCGUGAAGAAAGUAUGACUGGGAGCCACUGACAUCAUUGUAGUCUUUACGCUUCACUAAUCCUGGAAUAGUCAAAGCUUCGACUAGGUAAGAGCCUGCUCAGCGAGUCUAGUCCAACAAUUAUUCGUAAGUCUUGAAUUGAAACAUAUAUAACAAAGUUCUCUUCGAACGCGAAAUUCGAAUUUCCAUUACUCAAUGGCCAGUUGAGCUAUGCCUACUAUAUUGCGGCGAUAGAUAUUUCGAAUUUCAUAACGUUCAUUAUUAAAAAUAAUGAAUCAUAAGAGUGUGUGUUGAAUAGUGUAAUCUGUAAUUAUUUUUGUCGUGCAACCACUACUAAAAGGAACUUAAUAUGCGAUACAUCUGGCUCUUAGUCGAAUUCCAUCAUCUUUAGCAUUGUAUAAGGACAACUUAUACAAUGCCUCUAGCAUUUCCCUGCAAAAUUUUCGGAGGACAAAUAAGACACUUGACACUUCAAUCUUACAACACAAAAGCCCCAAAGACGUACACAACAUAAAUGAAACACACAAUUAAAACAACAGUUUUAUAUUCGAUACAGAAUCUUGAAAAUAGGACAUAUUUUCGCGAUGUAAAUAUGAAUUAGCGAUUAUGCUCUUUUGAAAACUUCACUUUAGGUAAGACUUAUCAAUCAUGGAAUCAAUAUACAGCACCUAACAUUUCUAAAUUACAUACAUUGUAUAAAUAUACUCUCUUUAAUUCAUUACCGAAGUCACAUGUCCAUUCUUCAUAUUUAAUAAAUUUAGUAUAUAUGAUCAUAUAGUUUUAAGACUAACUUUUGUGUCCUUAAAUUAUUCCCACAUAUAUUAGGGAGAAAAUUAACUGAUAAAAACAAAACAAAAUAGUCAACAACAGGAAGCAAUUGCAAA